GUGGGGAAUAUUCCGCAAUGGACGAAAGUCUGACGGAGCAACGCCGCGUGAGUGAUGAAGGUUUUCGGACUGUAAAGCUCUGUUGUUUAGGACGAAAGUGCCUGUUGCAAAUAGUUACAGGUAUUGACGGUACUGAACGAGGAAGCCACGGCUAACUACGUGCCAGCAGCCGCGGUAAUACGUAGGUGGCAAGCGUUGUCCGGAAUUAUUGGGCGUAAAGAGCAUGUAGGCGGGAAUCUAAGUCUGUUGUGAAAAUGCGGGGCUCAACCCCGUAUUGCGAUGGAAACUGGGUUUCUUGAGUGCAGGAGAGGAAAGGGGAAUUCCCAGUGUAGUGGUGAAAUGCGUAGAUAUUGGGAGGAACACCAGUGGCGAAGGCGCCUUUCUGGACUGUGUCUGACGCUGAGAUGCGAAAGCCAGGGUAGCGAACGGGAUUAGAUACCCCAGUAGUCC
rnacentral:rRNA from 1 species